rnacentral:rRNA from 1 species
CGCCAGACUCCUACGGGAGGCAGCAGUGAGGAAUAUUGGGCAAUGGAGGCAACUCUGACCCAGCCAUGCCGCGUGAGUGAAGAAGGUUUUCGGAUUGUAAAGCUCUUUCGGAUGUGACGAUGAUGACGGUAGCAUCUAAAGAAGCCCCGGCUAACUUCGUGCCAGCAGCCGCGGUAAUACGUAGGGGGCAAGCGUUAUCCGGAAUUACUGGGUGUAAAGGGAGAGUAGGCGGCAAGGUAAGCGAUAUGUGAAAGCCUUAAGCUUAACUUAAGGAUUGCAUAACGAACUAUCUAGCUAGAGUACAGGAGAGGAAAGCGGAAUUCCUAGUGUAGCGGUGAAAUGCGUAGAUAUUAGGAAGAACACCAGUGGCGAAGGCGGCUUUCUGGACUGAAACUGACGCUGAGGCUCGAAAGCGUGGGGAGCGAACAGGAUUAGAUACCCGAGUA